rnacentral:rRNA from 1 species
GACGAACGCUGGCGGCGUGCUUAACACAUGCAAGUCGAACGAGUGGCGAACGGGUGAGUAACACGUGGGUGAUCUGCCUUGCACUCUGGGAUAAGCUUGGGAAACUGGGUCUAAUACCGGAUAGUGCAAGAUGAGCUCGCGGCCUAUCAGCUUGUUGGUGGGGUAAUGGCCUACCAAGGCGUCGACGGGUAGCCGGCCUGAGAGGGUGUACGGCCACAUUGGGACUGAGAUACGGCCCAGACUCCUACGGGAGGCAGCAGUGGGGAAUAUUGCACAAUGGGCGGAAGCCUGAUGCAGCGACGCCGCGUGGGGGAUGACGGCCUUCGGGUUGUAAACUCCUUUCGACAGGGACGCGGUACCUGUAUAAGAAGCACCGGCUAACUACGUGCCAGCCGCCGCGGUAAUAC